UUUGGCUUUUUAACAACAUGUCUUAUCUUAUCAUUCCGAGCGAGCGGUUUCGAAAUUCAACGAUUCAAGUAAAAAAAGUUUGAAAAAUAAAUCGAAUAAUAACUUGAAAAUUCCUGUUUGUGAGACAUCGAGGCAUAAAACGGCUCUAAUGUCAUCUGUAACAUUUUCGAUCAACGCUCUCGAUAAUCUCUACAUUGUAGAGUAGAUCGUAGUAAAUAAAUUGAACAAAAUUCCCGUUAGUUAAACUUGCUUUGAAUGUUUAAAUGAAUCGGAUCAGGCUGUUUCGACAUGUGAUCGUUAAUCUUUUCAAUAGUUGGAUUGUCCUAGUUUGUUAUUGCUCCGCUAUCAAUUAAAGCUACGGUACACUUAUACGCAUUGAAUCGAAAAAGUUUAUUUAAACCCAAGUAGUUGUACCUAGCAUGUGGACCCAAAAAUAGAAGUGAUGUAAUAUCAACUGAUACCAGGUUAAUUUGAAUGAAUUGUAUUUAUAUCUGGUGCAAAUUGUAUGAUUGAAUAGACCUGUUAUUUAGACAAAAGUGGUAUCUACAGAUUUUUAAAGAUCUUAUGAUGCAUGAGGAAGCUAUUGUUAGCAAGGUUAUUGUUAUGUCCGGUCAGCCUAGUCCCAGGCGUUCUUAUCGGGUUUCCUGUGGUAAGGUUUCCUGGGGAUGGUAAGAGUUGUGACGUCACAGGGAAUCAUCUUCCAGAAUGCCUAGUGAAAUUCGCCAAAUCCAAAAUGGCGACCACAGAAUAGCCAAUAUGCUGCAUGAAAAUCAACUUAUUCAAAAGUAGCAAGCAGAGGAAUAUAUGUUCAAAGAGGCUUGUAUUUUAUGGGUUGGCUUGGCUCAUUUUGCCUCGACGAUUCGAUGAGAUGUUUGGAGGAGUUUGUUCCACGCAUAACUGCACACAUGCUCAUGAUCUGUCUUCUUAUAAUUUCUCAGCGUUGCUCAGAACUGACACUCCUGCAAUGAAGUGUCAGUAUUUGAAGCCUUUUCAAAUGGCAGCCCAGCUUCUUUCAAAGGGAACAUCCUUAUCCAAAAAGUUUGGAUAAGCAUUAUGAAGGGGACACAAAAAGUCCAAGUUCUUGAUCUGGAAGUUUUAACCAUUUUGCUUUUGAUAUAAACCAAUGUUUGAGCCUUU